AAUUUUUAUGUUGCUUUUGCUCCCAAAGGGACUGUGCUGAAACACCCAGCUUCCAUCCCUUGCUUUAGCUACAACUCGCUCAGAAUGAGGUUUUUCUUUCCAGGAGGUUUCAAAACAGAUGAAAACUCAGACGUUUGCUUGGAAAAAUGAAGAUGCAGGGCCUGCCGAUGGCACCCUGCACUCUGGGGAACACUUCAUUAGCAGCUUCAUUUAACUGCACUGAACACGGAGCCUGGGGGAAAACAGCAACAUUGGCACAGGACCCAGCCAGGAGUAUGGAUCCUGUGCAGCUUCACACUAGGUAACCAUGAUAACAGCCCAGCCAAAACCCACGCACCGCACAAGUUUGAGGAUGCUCGCUUCAAGCUCAGCUCUUGGUAUGGGAUUCUGCUAAUAGGCUGUGUCCUGCCGAAGCUCAAGCACGAGCCCUCCUGGAUAGGGAUCUCUGUCCCAGAUGCCUGUAAAAGGAGCAGCUCCUCAAGAACCAGGAUAUAAUGGAACAGCAUUGUACAGUUUUACUCACCUAGGUCUGGUCACAUAGUCUGGCCCUGAUCUGUAGCUUUAAAUAACACCAAAUGGAAAUUCUGGCACAAAAUCCAAUCCUUAUAUUUCCAUUCACCCUGGCAUAUGUGUUUCUUGCACAUACCCUCAUUAUGGUCCCACCAUACUUUUCAUACAGGAGCUUCAAGUAAAGGAUAGAAAGGAAUUGCCUGCAGAUGCAAUAACCUUUGAUAAGGUGAAAAGCACUGUUUGUUCUAAUAUUUUUUCAAGAUAUCAAUAUAUUCUUUUUUUUUAAACUGUAACUUUUUUGUAAAAUAUAUUUCAUCAUUGCUUGGUGCUUUCAGUAGGUAGAACAGCAGUACAAUCCACAGUGAGAGAAGGAAUCUGGCAUCUCAAGCAGGAAGGGUAACCAUAAAAGUAAGCAGAGGUGUUACCCAUCUUAAACAACUGCAGAAAGUAUAAAAGGGGAUCAGAGAUCUUGGGAAAACUGUAAAAGAAAGAGAAAUGAAGGUCCUGAAAUAUGUCAUUCCCAGCAUGCCAAGACUCCAAGGAUGCCUACAUAUAUCUUGUUAUUAGGGUCUGUAUACCACAGCAAAGUUUUGCAUGGUUGUGUAUGCAUCCAAUAAAGUUUGCCUGUGAGA